ACAAAACCCGCGUGAGGGAUAGCAGUGGAGCUCCUUUUUCUUGAAUUGCCUCGGGUUUAAACCCGAGGCAAUUCAAGAAAAAGAGCGGGAACGAAUAGCCCGACCCGAC
rnacentral:sRNA from 1 species